GUGCCAGCAGCCGCGGUAAUACGUAGGGGGCAAGCGUUGUCCGGAGUUACUGGGCGUAAAGCGCACGCAGGCGGUCUGUUAAGUUUGGAGUGACAGUUGGUGGCUUAACUGCCAAAGUGCUUCGAAAACUGACAGACUUGAGGGCUUCAGAGGGACACGGAAUUCCGGGUGGAGUGGUGAAAUGCGUAGAGAUCCGGAGGAACACCGAAGGCGAAGGCAGUGUCCUGGGGAGUACCUGACGCUCAGGUGCGAAAGCCAGGGGAGCGAACGGGAUUAGAAACCCCCGUAGUCC
rnacentral:rRNA from 1 species